GACGGAGCAUACGCAAAAUCAUUCCAGACUCUUUCAGACAGAGCGCGGAUCCUUCGAUUGCUUUAGCACUUUGAAUUCAUGAAGAUGGCUAUGACUUUGCUAAGUGUUGUUUUCCUUCUGGCUUUUUGCCAGAUUCACCAUCUAGAAGCGAAGCCGACGAAUUCAUUCAGUCUGCUAGAUUAUCUGAAAAAGGAAGGUAAUGAAGAUAUAUGUUGUUAUUUUCGAAUUAUCAGAACAAAGGAAGAGUGGAAUUUGAUGCAACUCCCAGGCGCCUCCGGGAUGAACCUAGAAGAUACCCCUGAUGAUGAUGGUAAGCUUCCAGUUUUCUUUACGAGCCCAGACAAGUUCCUAGCAGACAUCGAUUUUCCUCAAGGAGAUGAUAGAAACAUUCCGUACUCCGAGAUAUAAGGGCUACUUUGAACAACUUCGGCUCCUAGUGUUUAAGAAACAAGAAAACAAUGCUGAAAAAAGAAGAAAGAAUAAAGGACACUUUAGAUUUGUAGAAAUAUAUGAAUAAAUAUUAGCAUCAUAACA